UACGUAGGGGGCUAGCGUUGUCCGGAAUCAUUGGGCGUAAAGCGCGUGUAGGCGGCCCGGUAAGUCCGCUGUGAAAGUCGGGGGCUCAACCCUCGGAUGCCGGUGGAUACUGUCGGGCUCGAGUACGGAAGAGGCGAGUGGAAUUCCUGGUGUAGCGGUGAAAUGCGCAGAUAUCAGGAGGAACACCAAUGGCGAAGGCAGCACUCUGGGACGUGACUGACGCUGAGACGCGAAAGCGUGGGGAGCAAACAGG
rnacentral:rRNA from 1 species